UAGUCCACGCCCUAAACGAUGUAUACUCGAUGUUUGGAUUUAUUUCUGGGCAUCCAAGGGAAACCAUUAAGUAUACCACCUGGGGAGUACGUCGGCAACGAUGAAACUCAAAGGAAUUGACGGGGGUCCGCACAAGCGGUGGAGUAUGUGGUUUAAUUCGAUGAUACGCGAGGAACCUUACCUGGGCUCUAAUGCGAGCGCUAUCUGGUGAAAGCCGGAGUUCCUUCGGGACGCGAAGCAAGGUGCUGCAUGGUUGUCGUCAGCUCGUGCCGUGAGGUGUUGGGUUAAGUCCCGCAACGAGCGCAACCCCUAUUGUUAGUUGCCAGCAUUAAGUUGGGGACUCUAACAAGACUGCCCGCGUAAGCGGAGAGGAAGGUGGGGAUGACGUCAAAUCAUCAUGGCCUUUAUGCCCAGGGCGACACACGUGCUACAAUGGUACAUACAGAGGGUUGCCAAGCCGCGAGGUGGAGCUAAUCCCAGAAAGUGUAUCCCAGUUCGGAUCGGAGUCUGC
rnacentral:rRNA from 1 species